UACGUAGGGGGGCUAGCGUUGUCCGGAAUCAUUGGGCGUAAAGCGCGUGUAGGCGGUCCGGUAAGUCCGCUGUGAAAGUCGGGGGCUCAACCCUCGAAAGCCGGUGGAAACUGUUGGGCUAGAGUACGGAAGAGGCGAGUGGAAUUCCUGGUGUAGCGGUGAAAUGCGCAGAUAUCAGGAGGAACACCAAUUGCGAAGGCAGCUCGCUGGGACGUUACUGACGCUGAGACGCGAAAAGCGUGGGGGAGCAAACAGG
rnacentral:rRNA from 1 species